AAUCCAUAGGUUAAUGAGGCGAACCGGGGGAACUGAAACAUCUAAGUACCCCGAGGAAAAGAAAUCAACCGAGAUUCCCCCAGUAGCGGCGAGCGAACGGGGAGGAGCCCAGAGCCUGAAUCAGCAUGUGUGUUAGUGGAAGCGUCUGGAAAGGCGCGCGAUACAGGGUGACAGCCCCGUACACAAAAGCGCAUGUGCUGUGAGCUCGAUGAGUAGGGCGGGACACGUGGUAUCCUGUCUGAAUAUGGGGGGACCAUCCUCCAAGGCUAAAUACUCCUGACUGACCGAUAGUGAACCAGUACCGUGAGGGAAAGGCGAAAAGAACCCCGGCGAGGGGAGUGAAAAAGAACCUGAAACCGUGUACGUACAAGCAGUGGGAGCACCCUUUGGGGUGUGACUGCGUACCUUUUGUAUAAUGGGUCAGCGACUUAUAUUCUGUAGCAAGGUUAACCGUAUAGGGGAGCCGGAGGGAAACCGAGUCUUAAUUGGGCGUUAAGUUGCAGGGUAUAGACCCGAAACCCGGUGAUCUAGCCAUGGGCAGGUUGAAGGUUGGGUAACACUAACUGGAGGACCGAACCGACUAAUGUUGAAAAAUUAGCGGAUGACCUGUGGCUGGGGGUGAAAGGCCAAUCAAACCGGGAGAUAGCUGGUUCUCCCCGAAAGCUAUUUAGGUAGCGCCUCGUGAAUUCAUCUC
rnacentral:rRNA from 1 species